rnacentral:rRNA from 1 species
GACGAACGCUGGCGGCGUGCCUAAUACAUGCAAGUUGAGCGCUGAAGGUUGGUACUUGUACCAACUGGAUGAGCAGCGAACGGGUGAGUAACGCGUGGGGAAUCUGCCUUUGAGCGGGGGACAACAUUUGGAAACGAAUGCUAAUACCGCAUAAAAACUUUAAACACAAGUUUUAAGUUUGAAAGAUGCAAUUGCAUCACUCAAAGAUGAUCCCGCGUUGUAUUAGCUAGUUGGUGAGGUAAAGGCUCACCAAGGCGAUGAUACAUAGCCGACCUGAGAGGGUGAUCGGCCACAUUGGGACUGAGACACGGCCCAAACUCCUACGGGAGGCAGCAGUAAGGAAUCUUCGGCAAUGGACGAAAGUCAGACCGAGCAACGCCGCGUGAGUGAAGAAGGUUUUCGGAUCGUAAAACUCUGUUGGUAGAGAAGAACGUUGGUGAGAGUGGAAAGCUCAUCAAGUGACGGUAACUACACAGAAAGGGACGGCUAACUACGUG